GUUUUAAUAGCUUAUUUAAAGUUUAAUAUUGAAGAUAUUAAGAAGGUUUUUACCUUAAAAUA
rnacentral:tRNA from 5 species